CCUACGAGAGGCUGCAGUGAGGAGUAUUGGUCAAUGGGCGCGAGCCUGAACCAGCCAAGUAGCGUGAAGGAUGACUGCCCUACGGGUUGUAAACUUCUUUUAUAAAGGAAUAAAGUGAGGCACGUGUGCCUUUUUGUAUGUACUUUAUGAAUAAGGAUCGGCUAACUCCGUGCCAGCAGCCGCGGUAAUACGGAGGAUCCGAGCGUUUUCCGGAUUUAUUGGGUUUAAAGGGAGCGUAGUUGGGUUGUUAAGUCAGUUGUGAAAGUUUGCGGCUCAACCGUAAAAUUGCAAUUGAUACUGGCAGUCUUGAGUACAGUUGAGGUAGGCGGAAUGCGUGGUGUAGCGGUGAAAUGCUUAGAUAUCACGAAGAACUCCGAUUGCGAAGGCAGCUUACUAAACUGCCACUGACAUUGAUGCUCGAAAGUGUGGGUAUCAAACAGGAUUAGAUACCCCUGUAGUC
rnacentral:rRNA from 1 species